AGAGUUUGAUCCUGGCUCAGGAUGAACGCUAGCGACAGGCUUAACACAUGCAAGUCGAGGGGCAGCACAGGUAGCAAUACCGGGUGGCGACCGGCGCACGGGUGAGUAACGCGUAUGCAACUUACCUAUCAGAGGGGGAUAACCCGGCGAAAGUCGGACUAAUACCGCAUGAAGCAGGGGCCCCGCAUGGGGAUAUUUGCUAAAGAUUCAUCGCUGAUAGAUAGGCAUGCGUUCCAUUAGGCAGUUGGCGGGGUAACGGCCCACCAAACCGACGAUGGAUAGGGGUUCUGAGAGGAAGGUCCCCCACAUUGGUACUGAGACACGGACCAAACUCCUACGGGAGGCAGCAGUGAGGAAUAUUGGUCAAUGGCCGAGAGGCUGAACCAGCCAAGUCGCGUGAGGGAUGAAGGUUCUAUGGAUCGUAAACCUCUUUUAUAAGGGAAUAAAGUGCGGGACGUGUCCCGUUUUGUAUGUACCUUAUGAAUAAGGAUCGGCUAACUCCGUGCCAGCAGCCGCGGUAAUACGGAGGAUCCGAGCGUUAUCCGGAUUUAUUGGGUUUAAAGGGUGCGUAGGCGGCCUUUUAAGUCAGCGGUGAAAGUCUGUGGCUCAACCAUAGAAUUGCCGUUGAAACUGGGGGGCUUGAGUAUGUUUGAGGCAGGCGGAAUGCGUGGUGUAGCGGUGAAAUGCAUAGAUAUCACGCAGAACCCCGAUUGCGAAGGCAGCCUGCCAAGCCAUUACUGACGCUGAUGCACGAAAGCGUGGGGAUCAAACAGGAUUAGAUACCCUGGUAGUCCACGCAGUAAACGAUGAUCACUAGCUGUUUGCGAUACACUGUAAGCGGCACAGCGAAAGCGUUAAGUGAUCCACCUGGGGAGUACGCCGGCAACGGUGAAACUCAAAGGAAUUGACGGGGGCCC
rnacentral:rRNA from 1 species